GAGUUGCGAACGGGUGAGUAACGCGUAGGUAACCUGCCUUGUAGCGGGGGAUAACUAUUGGAAACGAUAGCUAAUACCGCAUAACAAUGGAUGACACAUGUCAUUUAUUUGAAAGGGGCAAUUGCUCCACUACAAGAUGGACCUGCGUUGUAUUAGCUAGUAGGUGAGGUAAUGGCUCACCUAGGCGACGAUACAUAGCCGACCUGAGAGGGUGAUCGGCCACACUGGGACUGAGACACGGCCCAGACUCCUACGGGAGGCAGCAGUAGGGAAUCUUCGGCAAUGGGGGCAACCCUGACCGAGCAACGCCGCGUGAGUGAAGAAGGUUUUCGGAUCGUAAAGCUCUGUUGUAAGUCAAGAACGGGUGUGAGAGUGGAAAGUUCACACUGUGACGGUAGCUUACCAGAAAGGGACGGCUAACUACGUGCCAGCAGCCGCGGUAAUACGUAGGUCCCGAGCGUUGUCCGGAUUUAUUGGGCGUAAAGCGAGCGCAGGCGGUUUGAUAAGUCUGAAGUUAAAGGCUGUGGCUCAACCAUAGUUCGCUUUGGAAACUGUCAAACUUGAGUGCAGAAGGGGAGAGUGGAAUUCCAUGUGUAGCGGUGAAAUGCGUAGAUAUAUGGAGGAACACCGGUGGCGAAAGCGGCUCUCUGGUCUGUAACUGACGCUGAGGCUCGAAAGCGUGGGGAGCGAACAGGAUUAGAUACCCUGGUAGUCCACGCCGUAAACGAUGAGUGCUAGGUGUUGGAUCCUUUCCGGGAUUCAGUGCCGCAGCUAACGCAUUAAGCACUCCGCCUGGGGAGUACGACCGCAAGGUUGAAACUCAAAGGAAUUGACGGGGGCCCGCACAAGCGGUGGAGCAUGUGGUUUAAUUCGAAGCAACGCGAAGAACCUUACCAGGUCUUGACAUCCCGAUGCUAUUUCUAGAGAUAGAAAGUUACUUCGGUACAUCGGUGACAGGUGGUGCAUGGUUGUCGUCAGCUCGUGUCGUGAGAUGUUGGGUUAAGUCCCGCAACGAGCGCAACCCCUAUUGUUAGUUGCCAUCAUUCAGUUGGGCACUCUAGCGAGACUGCCGGUAAUAAACCGGAGGAAGGUGGGGAUGACGUCAAAUCAUCAUGCCCCUUAUGACCUGGGCUACACACGUGCUACAAUGGUUGGUACAACGAGUUGCGAGUCGGUGACGGCGAGCUAAUCUCUUAAAGCCAAUCUCAGUUCGGAUUGUAGGCUGCAACUCGCCUACAUGAAGUCGGAAUCGCUAGUAAUCGCGGAUCAGCACGCCGCGGUGAAUACGUUCCCGGGCCUUGUACACACCGCCCGUCACACCACGAGAGUUUGUAACACAAGAAGUCGGUGAGGUAACCUAAUGGAGCCAGCCGCCUAAGGUGGGACAGAUGAUUGGGGUG
rnacentral:rRNA from 1 species